rnacentral:rRNA from 1 species
UCGAUUAGAGUUUGAUCCUGGCUCAGGACGAACGCUGGCGGCGUGCCUAAUACAUGCAAGUCGAGCGCAGGAAAUCGACGGAACCCUUCGGGGGGAAGUCGACGGAAUGAGCGGCGGACGGGUGAGUAACACGUAAAGAACCUGCCCUCAGGUCUGGGAUAACCACGAGAAAUCGGGGCUAAUACCGGAUGGGUCAUCGGACCGCAUGGUCCGAGGAUGAAAGGCGCUUCGGCGUCGCCUGGGGAUGGCUUUGCGGUGCAUUAGCUAGUUGGUGGGGUAAUGGCCCACCAAGGCGACGAUGCAUAGCCGACCUGAGAGGGUGAUCGGCCACACUGGGACUGAGACACGGCCCAGACUCCUACGGGAGGCAGCAGUAGGGAAUCUUCCACAAUGGACGAAAGUCUGAUGGAGCAACGCCGCGUGAACGAUGAAGGCCUUCGGGUCGUAAAGUUCUGUUGUAAGGGAAGAACGAGUGCCGCAGGCAAUGGCGGCACCUUGACGGUACCUUGCGAGAAAGCCACGGCUAACUACGUGCCAGCAGCCGCGGUAAUACGUAGGUGGCAAGCGUUGUCCGGAAUUAUUGGGCGUAAAGCGCGCGCAGGCGGCCUCUUAAGUCUGAUGUGAAAGCCCCCGGCUCAACCGGGGAGGGCCAUUGGAAACUGGGAGGCUUGAGUAUAGGAGAGAAGAGUGGAAUUCCACGUGUAGCGGUGAAAUGCGUAGAGAUGUGGAGGAACACCAGUGGCGAAGGCGACUCUUUGGCCUAUAACUGACGCUGAGGCGCGAAAGCGUGGGGAGCAUACAGGAUUAGAUACCCUGGUAGUCCACGCCGUAAACGAUGAGUGCUAGGUGUUGGAGGGUUUCCGCCCUUCAGUGCUGAAGCUAACGCAUUAAGCACUCCGCCUGGGGAGUACGGUCGCAAGG